AGAGUUUGAUCCUGGCUCAGGACGAACGCUGGCGGCGUGCUUAACACAUGCAAGUCGAACGAGAGGAGAAGGAAGCUUGCUUCUUUCAAAUCUAGUGGCAAACGGGUGAGUAACACGUAAACAACCUGCCUUCAGGAUGGGGACAACAGACGGAAACGACUGCUAAUACCGAAUACGUUCCUUAGGUCGCAUGAUCUUGGGAAGAAAGGGUGGCCUCUACCUGUAAGCUAUCGCCUGAAGAGGGGUUUGCGUCUGAUUAGCUUGUUGGCGGGGUAACGGCCCACCAAGGCAACGAUCAGUAGGGGUUCUGAGAGGAAGGUCCCCCACAUUGGAACUGAGACACGGUCCAAACUCCUACGGGAGGCAGCA
rnacentral:rRNA from 1 species